UACAGAGGUCCCCAAGCGUUGUUCGGAUUCACUGGGCGUAAAGGGUGCGUAGGUGGCUGGAAAAGUUUGAUGUGAAAUCUCCAAGCUUAACUUGGAAAUGGCAUUGAAUACUGUCUGGCUUGAGGUUUGGAGGGGGGACUGGAAUUCUCGGUGUAGCAGUGAAAUGCGUAGAUAUCGAGAGGAACACCAGUGGCGAAGGCGAAUCACUGGACAGAACCUGACGCUGAGGCACGAAAGCUAGGGGAGCAAACGGGAUUAGAACU
rnacentral:rRNA from 1 species